CACAUGCAGUCGAGCGGAUGACGGGAGCUUGCUCUUUUGAUUCAGCGGCGGACGGGUGAGUAAUACCUAGGAAUCUGCCUGAUAGUGGGGGACAACGUUUCGAAAGGAACGCUAAUACCGCAUACGUCCUACGGGAGAAAGCAGGGGACCUUCGGGCCUUGCGCUAUCAGAUGAGCCUAGGUCGGAUUAGCUAGUUGGUGAGGUAAUGGCUCACCAAGGCGACGAUCCGUAACUGGUCUGAGAGGAUGAUCAGUCACACUGGAACUGAGACACGGUCCAGACUCCUACGGGAGGCAGCAGUGGGGAAUAUUGGACAAUGGGCGAAAGCUUGAUCCAGCCAUGCCGCGUGUGUGAAGAAGGUCUUCGGAUUGUAAAGCACUUUAAGUUGGGAGGAAGGGCAGUAAGCUAAUACCUUGCUGUUUUUGACGUUACCGACAGAAUAAGCACCGGCUAACUCUGUGCCAGCAGCCGCGGUAAUACAGAGGGUGCGAGCGUUAAUCGGAAUUACUGGGCGUAAAGCGCGCGUAGGUGGUUCGUUUAAGUGGAUGUG
rnacentral:rRNA from 1 species